AAAGUCGUAACAAGGUUUCCGUAGGUGAACCUGCGGAAGGAUCAUUAACGAGUUUGAAAGGGGUUGUAGCUGAUCUUUCGAGAUAUGUGCUCGCCCUGCUCAUCCACAUACCACUGUGCACCUUCUGUGGCUGGCAAGUGCUUGAACUGGGUCGCAAGACCUGGGUCGCAUGAACCGUCGCGUCUUUACAUACACUAUAACAGUCUAGAAUGUCUACUUGCGAUAAAACGCAUCUAAUACAACUUUCAACAACGGAUCUCUUGGCUCUC
rnacentral:misc_RNA from 1 species